UACGGAAGGCAGCAGUGGGGAAUAUUGCACAAUGGGCGCAAGCCUGAUGCAGCCAUGCCGCGUGUAUGAAGAAGGCCUUCGGGUUGUAAAGUACUUUCAGUCGUGAGGAAGGUGUUAAGGUUAAUAACCUUAGCAAUUGACGUUAGCGACAGAAGAAGCACCGGCUAACUCCGUGCCAGCAGCCGCGGUAAUACGGAGGGUGCGAGCGUUAAUCGGAAUUACUGGGCGUAAAGGGCACGCAGGCGGUUAAUUAAGUUGGAUGUGAAAUCCCCGGGCUUAACCUGGGAAUGGCAUUCAAGACUGGUUAGCUAGAGUCUUGUAGAGGGGGUAGAAUUCCAUGUGUAGCGGUGAAAUGCGUAGAGAUGUGGAGGAAUACCGGUGGCGAAAGGCGGCCCCUGGACAAAAGGACUGACGCUCAUGUGCGAAAAGCGUGGGGGAGCAAAACAGGGAUUAGAUACC
rnacentral:rRNA from 1 species